rnacentral:lncRNA from 1 species
CAGGUGUUCAAACCAUGACCUUUUUGUCCAUCUAUUUGGAAAUCAACAGGUUUGACCAACUUUGGAUCAUCAUAUUUAGGUAUAAAAAAACAGCAACAAGAUAGCUAUUUUACCCGGACGUUUCAUUUUUAGGAGUUCUAGAAGGGUCAGCACUUUUGUAUAAUUGGACAUUGCAAGCCACAAUGUAAAUGGGCACUCCACUUUGAGGUUCCCUAUUGAUGUCUGCAAAAUUUGUUGAUACUUGGCUCUCUCUCUCUCUCUCUCUCUCUCUCUCUCAUCUGUCAUGAAGGGACUUCUAGUUUUAAUUGCUUGACGAAUAUCAUUAUAUACAUUUUUAAUAUUAAG